rnacentral:rRNA from 1 species
GUGCAAUGGCAUAAGCCAGCUUGACUGCGAGCGUGACGGCGCGAGCAGGUGCGAAAGCAGGUCAUAGUGAUCCGGUGGUUCUGAAUGGAAGGGCCAUCGCUCAACGGAUAAAAGGUACUCCGGGGAUAACAGGCUGAUACCGCCCAAGAGUUCAUAUCGACGGCGGUGUUUGGCACCUCGAUGUCGGCUCAUCACAUCCUGGGGCUGAAGUAGGUCCCAAGGGUAUGGCUGUUCGCCAUUUAAAGUGGUACGCGAGCUGGGUUUAGAACGUCGUGAGACAGUUCGGUCCCUAUCUGCCGUGGGCGCUGGAGAACUGAGGGGGGCUGCUCCUAGUACGAGAGGACCGGAGUGGACGCAUCACUGGUGUUCGGGUUGUCAUGCCAAUGGCACUGCCCGGUAGCUAAAUGCGGAAGAGAUAAGUGCUGAAAGCAUCUAAGCACGAAACUUGCCCCGAGAUGAGUUCUCCCUGACUCCUUGAGAGUCCUGAAGGAACGUUGAAGACGACGACGUUGAUAGGCCGG